CAAAGGGUCGCUGGGAAAACUAAGCCUUACUGUCCAUCUUGCCUUCAGGAUAAUGUGAAAUAUGGCCUAAUUUUUGAAGUUUUUUUCUUAGAAAUUUUACUGAAUCCAAAAUAAAACAAGAAGAUCAUGAGUCCAGAAUUCUCUUUUCUCAACACUAGAUGGCAGUAGAGUUAAAGAAAAAAAUCCCAGCAGUUCUUUGUACAGGGAUUUGGUGAUUUUUCCCAUAAAGCUGCGAUGAGGAUGAACUCAGAGCAAAAUCUAUAACUCAGGUGGCAGAGAGGAGAAGCAGCUGGACAUCGGAGACUAUGGCUGGACAUUGGAGAGAAGUGGUUUGACUUCAGAGGGACAGCUUGACAGUGAAGAAUUCGGCCAGAGAUAGCUGGACUUCAGGGGAAGAUGAUCUUUCCGCCUCAUCCCCCUUUCAGCUCCCCUUCCUGCUGAGAGACACUUUAAUCGGCAAUAAAAUCCCCCAUGUUUACCAUC
rnacentral:lncRNA from 1 species